rnacentral:lncRNA from 1 species
AGAAAGGGGCAACCGAUUCAAUUAAUUAAAAAUUCAGACACAAGGCGCACAAAUCACGAUUUAUGAUUAUGUCCAAUCCACUCUCCACACCGUAGUUUGCAGACUUUAAUUGUGACUUGCCCAAUCCAACCUCCACCACAAGCUAAGAUUCAAAGUAAUAAAAUUAUAAGGGAAAUGUUCUAGUUAUAGAGACUAACUUUUAAAAUUAUAAUUUAGUAUUCAAAAACACUCUAAAAAUAAAAGUUGGUAAAUAAAACUCAGAAAAGCUAGCGAUUUAUUUACUAUGGCGUUUUAAUGUUUUAAAUAAAAGAUCUAUAAGUUUAUGCGAUCUAGUUCAGAUUGCCUUCGUCAAAGCUAAAACUUCAAUGUAGUAGUUUUUGCCGAAUCUUUGUGCUUCUGUAGGCACGAAGAUUAUUGUGUCAGGAUGAGAAAGAGGGGGAGAGAGAGAGAAAGAGAGAGAGAGAGAGAGAGAGAGAGAGAGAGAGAGAGAGAGAGAGAGAGAGAGAGAGAGAGAGAGAGAGAGAGAGAGAGAGAGAGAGAGAGAUAUAUAUAUAUAUAUAUAUAUAUAUAUAGAUAUGAUUUGAUACUUAAGAGUUAUUAAAACGACUGCACCGUACAAGAGGAAUUAAACUUAAAAAAAUUAAAAAACUACAUAUAAAAGAGAGAGAAGAUGGUGCCGUGUAGGAGAGUAGAGACCAAACGCGGAAGAAUAGAGGGGUUUGGCGUGCAGGCGAGUAGAGGGAAGAGGGCUUAAAAAAAAAAAAAAAAGUAGAAAAUCGGAAGUGCAGGGGGGUAGAGGCCAAACCUACAAAUAUUAAACCCUUUUGAAGUUUGUUUGGGGACACCAAAGCGUGAAAAAGUAAAAUCACAGUACACUAAAUUUUACAUAGUUCAAUCAUGGGACACCAAAGCGUGAAAGAGGAAAAUCAUAGAAUAUCAAAUAUCACAUAGUUCAAUCAUGAGACAUAAAAAUAAAAAUAUGGUUCAAUCAUGGAACACCAAAAUAAAAAUAUAGUUCAAUCAUAUGACACCAAAAUAAAAAGAGAAUUAUUUGAUAAUUUGGUGUCCCAUGAUUUCACUCUUUCACGCUUUGGUAUCCCAUGAUUGAGCUAUGUGAAAUUUGGUGUUCCAUGAUUUCACUCUUUUUCACUUUGGUGUUCUUCCCAUAAAUUUCANNNNNNNNNNNNNNNNNNNNNNNNNCGAGCAUAAGCCAAGCUUUACUCGAGUUCUAGCCGAGCGAUCAAAUCAUUUGCUCGGCUUGUGCUCGACUUAAAAAGUCGAGCAAAUUAUUUGCUCGGCUUGUGCUCGAUCCCAGUCAAGCGAGCACAAGCCGAACUAUUGUCGAGCUUAUGUAUAUAAAUGACUCGCGAAUAGCGAGCUGGAUUGCCACCCCUAGUAUGUACAAAGUCGGGAAUGACGUUGGUAUGUUUAUACAUUGGGCUAGCAACAAGUGGGCCCCACUUUUGUCGACAUCUGCAUUAAACUACUGUAUUGCGAUGCGAUAUGGUAUGAUGUUAGUUGCUUGUUCGAAACCCUGGAAAAAAAAACCUUUUUAGAUUCCCCCAGUAGGUUUCCAAGAGUAGCAAAAGAUAUUCAGUACAUUUUUAUCCUGAGAGUAGCCAAACGUAUUUUAUUUAAUACACUAUCGUGCAAUAAAUGAAGACAUCGUAGUAAAGCAAUUUCCAGACGCCCCGAUGAGCACCACGUGGCACGAGCUCCAUGAGGGGAGUUUUUUUGGGUGCACAUGGUGCACUAUUUUUUACUUUAAAUUUUCUUUAUUUUUUAAUUAAUAAUUUAAUAUAAUAAUAUUAUAUAUAUUAAGAUUAAAAAAAUUUAAGACUAUAGUUUAAAAAUUAAGACUAUAAUUUACAUUUUAAAUUUUAAAAUUAAAGUUUUAAAAUUUUAAAUUCCUAAAUUUUCAAAAUUUAAAAUUUCAGAAUUUUCCUUGAAUUUUAAUUUAAAAAUCUAAAAUUUAAAUUUUAAAAUUUAAAAUCUGACUCUCGAAAUUUAAAAAUAAAAAUUUUAAAUUUCAAAAAAUUUUCAAAUUAAGAUGUAAAUUUUAAAUUUUAAACUUAAAAAUCGGAUUUAUUAAAAGUAAUUGAAAACUUUAAAUGGGAUGUGAUGGGUGAUAGUGUUGUGAUGUGACAAGCUUAAAGAGGGAGACUAGCAUUGCUUAAAGUUCAAAAGCUUUAAAAAUUUAAAAUCUGUAGUUUGAAAAUUAAGACGAAUUACUUUUACAUUUUAAAAUUUAUAAUUUUAAGUUUUAAAUUUUAAUUUUAAAAUUUUUAAAUUUUAAAUUUUAAAUUUUUUUCUGAAUUUUAAGUGAAAAAUAUAUAAUUUUAAAUUAUAAAAAUUUAAAAUGUGAAGCUGGAAAUUUAAAAUAAAAAUUUGAAAUUUCGAAUUUUUCAAAUUUUAACCUGUAAAAUUAAAAUUUUAAAUUUUAAAAUUUAAAAAUAAAAUUGGAACGCGAUUGGAUGUGAUGUGGUGACAUGACGUGCGCCUGUGCAAUCAGACUCCAACAACGGGAGGUUUAAUUUUGAAUUCUAAAAAUUUAAAAUUUGUAAUUUUAAAAUUAAGAAAAAAUUUAAAACUUUUAAGUUCUCAAUUUUAAAUUUUAUAAUUUCCUAAUUUCAAUUUUUUCUUGAAUAUUAAGCUAAAAUAUAAAAUUCUUAAUUUUAAAUUUUAAAAUUUGAGAUAUGAUAUUUAAAAAUUAAAUUAUGAAAUUAAGACAUUAAGAUCUAAAUUUUAAAUUUUUAAAAUUUGUUUCAAAAUUUAGACAGAACUUAAGAUUUAACAUUAAUAUUUGAAUUUAGAUUUAAAAUUUAAACAUAAAAUUAAAAUCAAAUUCAAAAUACAAAAUUUAAAAGUUUAAAAUAUUUUAAAACCAAAAUGCAUAAAACAAUUCUAAAAAAAAUCCCAAAAAGUAAAAUGUUUUACAAAAUAAACUAAAAAGAAAAGACCCAAAAAAAUAAAUUAGUUUGCAAAAAUAAAUGAAUAAAAAAAGAAAAAAAAAGGGAAUAAUUUCAUAGAUGCCCUUUUAGUAACCAUUAAUUUUAUCAAUACCCUUCUAAAUUUGAUAAUAUCACAAAUACCCUCCAAUAUGUUAAAAAUUAUAAUAAAUGCCCUCCAUUAGUUAAAAUCCGUUAAGGCCCAUGUGAAACGGAGUUAAAUUUUUAAUAUACCAAUUUUAGCCCUUAUCUCUUAUUAAUAGUAGAAAUACUAAUAGGUAUUUCAAUGCAAUUUUUGUAAAUCUAAAUUUGAGUGUUUAAUAUAUAUACAUAUUAAAUUAAAUCAUUAAUAUAUAUUAAUUAUAGAUUUUAUUCCUAAUUAGUAAAUUACAUAACUAUAUAAUUAUCAAUUUAUAUUCCUAAUCAGUAUUAGUAAUUUUGAAAUAAAUUAUAGAUUUUAUUUUUUUCCUAUUUAAGCAAAAGUAAAUUACAUAACUAUAUGCAUGCAUUGUUGUGUCGAUUGAAAUAAAAAAAGAGUUUUGUUCGAAAACUAAAAUAUAUUAUAUUUCAGUUUUUUAAUGCAUUUAAUACAAAUAAAAUUAUCAAGAAUAAUUUUAAUUAAAAAAAUUUUAAGCUUUCAAGAUUAAAGAAAGAUCGAAUAAUUCCUUAACAUUAUUUGCAUUUAAAUUUUUAUAUAUAAUUAUUUUAUUUGAUAAAAUAUAAAUAGAGCCAUUAGAUUUGGUGAAAUUAUCAAAAACAUAAAAAUUCACAUUUUUUCAUACACUGAAAUUAGUUAAUUUUUUUAAAAACUAAAAGUUAAUGGGAUAUCAACUAAAAAAUGAAAGUUGAGUGAGCUGUUUGCAAAUAGCAUAAAGUUAAGGGGGCUCCAUAUAUUUUUACUUAAGAGAAACUUGAGGGUAAAUAAGUCAUUUUAAAAGAUAACCCAUCUUUAACCAUUUAAUAACUGUGGUAAAACUAACAUAACUAACAGUAGGAGUAUUGAUGAUAAUUUUCUAUAUUUACAGGGGUGUAGGAGAUAUUCUAGCAGGAUUUGAAACUAAGGAAAAAUUCUAGAAUGCAAACGGAUAUAUUGGUAAAGUGGCGUAAUAAACUAAUCAAAUAUUUCCUUUUAUGAAUAUAUGUUGGAUCAUGAUUGUAAAAAAAUAUUUUUAUUGCACUUUUGUUUGAAAUGAAGAAUUGUGAUUGGCUUGUUAUUGAUGACGUGGUGCAAGUGUGACAGUAUAGAAUUUCUCAAAACCAAGACGGUUUGGCAUGCUGUCUUUACCAAUACACCUUACACCAAGUGGGCACCUCAACACUUUCAGGGACGAAACUCGGAUUCAAUCUUGAGGGGGACCAAAAUAUAUUUAAAUAGAAACUUUAGUAAUAAAUAAUAAAAAAAAAUUUCAUAAUUAAAAAUUUUUAUUAAAAAAUUAUUAAUUAGAUAAAUAAUGUAAAAGUAUGAACUGUAUUUUUUUUAUUUUUAGAUGUUUAACUUCUAAUUAUUUUAUUUAUAUUAUUACAUUAAAAUAAGUUAGAAAUUUUACUAAAUCUAACAGUAAUUUUUUAGUUUUUUAGUAAAUAAAAUUAACAUAGCUAUUAAAUUUAGUACAAUUCUUGAUCUAGUCAAAUAAAAUAGCUCACCUAAGAUAAAUAAAAGUUUUAAAAAAUUAUUAAAUAACAUUUUUAUAGUAGAGAAAUAUAUUACAAAAGACUCUAUAAGCAAGAAACUUUUAAUAUAUUUUAACCCAUAAAAUAGUAUACCGAUUAGGAGAAAGAGAGAGAGUGUUGGCACCAUACUAUUAAGUAAAUAUUCAAAAAUUAGAGGGGCUAAAAGCUAUCCAUGAUCUACCAAAAAAAAAUUUUGAAGGACCAUUAAGCAAAUAUUGAAAAGUUGAGGAGGGUCAAAGCUAUUUAUGGUCUACCAGAAAAAAAUUUUGAAAGACCAUUAAGUAAAUAUCGAAAAGUUGAGGGGGGCCAUGGCCACCUUAGGCCUCUACAUAGCUUCGUCCCUAGACAGUUUGAUACAACGUGUUAAAUCUUUUAACUAUGCUAUUUGAUGCAUUCUGCAAGAUCCACGUGGCAUACCUUCUCGUUCUUCGUUCCACGUGGCGACAGGCCUCUCACCCAACUCUACAAGUGGCUUUCUCUCUCUUCCCUAUUCUUCUACAGCUGUCUCUCUCUCUCUUCAGCUACCACAUUUUUCUCUCUCUCUCUUCCCUCCCCCAUCUGCCUAUCUGGCUCUGCUCCUCUCCCUCUCUCCGACCCUCUCUUUCUCUCUCUUCCCCUUUCUCUCUCUUACUCUCUCUCUUUCUCUCUCUUUCCUUCUCUUUUUCUCUCUCUUCCUCUCUCUCUUUCUUUCACUCUUUCUCUCUCUUCCUCUCUCUCUUUCUCUCUUUCUUUCUCUACAAAAUUUAUUCCAUUCUUAUCCCCUCCAAAGCUCUAUAAAUAGCUCGGAGUAGGCGAUCGGAGGAGAGGGGAGGGCGGUGCGAGAGGGGAGAGUUCACACCCAGGUUGCACAUUGCAUUAAAAAAAUAAAAAAAAAUGAAGAAGAAGAAGAUGGGAGCUAAAAAUAAAUAAGUAUAUAUAUAUAUAUAUAUAUAUAUAUAUAUAUAUAUAUAUAUAUAUAUAUAUAUAUAUAUAUAGAGUCCGGCCUACUAUACUAUUAUGAGUACGAUUGCCCUCGUACUCAUAAGUUGUUUUCGAUGAUAGAGCUUCUAAAUCGACGAUCCACACCGUUAAAUGUUAUCUAGAGCAUUUGAAACAUCUAGAUCAAAUUUCAAAAUUUUUUGACAUCCUUUACCUUACGAUCAAAAGCUCACAAAAUUGACAAUUUUUAACGGCCGGUAUGGAAUACUUGCUAAUUUAACGGUGCAAAAGAAUCCGAAUAGGUUGAAUUUUUGAUAGAAAAUUCUAUUCACUAACUAGAUAAAAGAUCAAUAACUCCGAUCUUAAAUUGAAGGAUCCGAUCAUCCAUUUUUAAGAUAUCGUUCGAUUUUGACCGUUCAUUUUAUGCCCGUUUGAUGGACUUUAUUAUGAUUUCGAAAAAUUACGAAAUUUAUUUUCUAGAAGUUUCAAAUACUCUAGAUCAUAUUUAAUGGAGUGGAUCAUCGAUUCAGAAACUCCAUCAUCGAAAACAACUUAUGAGUAUGAAGGGCCUAAUACUCAUAAUAGUAUAGUAGCCCUACUAUAUAUAUAUAUAUNAUGCAUUUAUAUAAUUGCUGCUAUUGAAAGCUAAAAUAUAAGUGGGAUGAAACCAGUUUUAAGUGGUGUUGGAUUGUUUUCACUAACUACUCAUUCGAAAAACUCUUGAGUUCUUAGAAAGUAACAGCUAAUUUAUUUAAGCGUACAAAUACAGUGCUCAUAAAAUCUCGAUUUGUUACUCGACCCAACCAAGUUGUCGCCACGUAGUCCGCUGGCAGCCCAGAGAUUCUGAUUGUGAUUCGGCCAAAUAAACCUUCUUCACAAGACAGAAUGCUAGCCUCUUCAAACCAACAAUCAGGGACGAAGCUAGGAUUCAAUUUUGAGGAGGGCCAAAAUAUAUUUAAAUAGAAACUUUAGUAAUAAAUAAUAAAAAAAAAUUUCAUAAUUAAAAAUUUUUAUUAAAAAAUUAUUAAUUAGAUAAAUAAUGUAAAAGUAUGAACUUUAUUUUUUUUUUAGAUGUUUAACUUCUAAUUAUUUUAUUUAUAUUAUUAUAUUAAAAUAACUUAGAAAUUUUACUAAAUCUAACAGUAAUUUUUUAAUUUUUUAGUAAAUAAAAUUAACAUAGCUAUUAAAUUUAGUACAAUUCUUGAUCUAGUCAAAUAAAAUAGCUCACCUAAGAUAAAUAAAAGUUUUAAAAAUUAUUACAUAACAUUUUUAUAGUAGAGAAAUAUAUUACAAAAGACUCUAUAAGUAAGAAACUUUUAAUAUAUUUUUACCCAUAAAAAAGUAUACCGAUCAGGAGAAAGAGAGAGAGAGUGUUAGCACCAUACUAUUAAGUAAAUAUUCAAAAAUUAGGGGGGCUAAAAGCUAUCCAUGGUCUACCAAAAAAAAAUUUUGAAGGACCAUUAAGCAAAUAUUGAAAAGUUGAGGGGGGUCAAAGCUAUCCAUGGUCCACCAAAAAAAAUUUUUGAAGGACCAUUAAGCAAAUAUCGAAAAGUUGAGGGGGGCUAUGGCCACCUUGGGCCUCUACAUAGUUUCGUCCCUGCCAACAAUUAUGCCUAGUAGCGCACAUAAUUUGCAGUAUGUGAAAAUCGAACUUGCGACAUACUCUGAUACCACUCAUUGGACCAUUGGAGCUAACUACUAAUUCUAAAAGCUCAAGAAAGAAGAAAGGGGCAACCGAUUCACUUAAUUAAAAAUUCAGACACAAGGCGCACAAAUCUCGAUUUAUGAUUCUGUCCAAUCCGCUCUCCACACCGUAGUUUGCAGACUUUAAUUGUGACUUGCCCAAUCCAACCUCCACCACAAGCUAAGAUUCAAAGUAAUAAAAUUAUAAGGGAAAACUUCAAAUACCCUCCUUGUGGUUUCACUUUUUCUCACUUUAGUAUCCUGUGGUUUAAAGUGUAUCGAGUUAGUACCCUGUGGUUUCGUACUUUCUCACUUUAGUACCCUGUGGUUUAAUAUUUCAUUAAGAGAAAAAUAAAACCACAGUGUACUAACUUGAUAUAAAAAUAAAACCACAAGGUACUAACUUGAUAUAAAAAUAAAAACACAGAGUACUAACUUGAUACACUAUAAACUACAGAAUACUAAAAGAAGAAAGUGCGAAACGACGGGAUACUAACUUGAUACAUUUUAAACCACAUGGCACUAAAAUGAAAAAGUGCGAAACCACAUGGUCAAUUUUGAAGUUUUCCCAAAUUAUAAACAUCCAAACGGUCU